GAUGAACGCUGGCGGCGUGCCUAAUACAUGCAAGUCGAGCGAAUGGAUUAAGAGCUUGCUCUUAUGAAGUUAGCGGCGGACGGGUGAGUAACACGUGGGUAACCUGCCCAUAAGACUGGGAUAACUCCGGGAAACCGGGGCUAAUACCGGAUAACAUUUUGAACCGCAUGGUUCGAAAUUGAAAGGCGGCUUAGGCUGUCACUGAUGGAUGGACCCGCGUCGCAUUAGCUAGUUGGUGAGGUAACGGCUCACCAAGGCAACGAUGCGUAGCCGACCUGAGAGGGUGAUCGGCCACACUGGGACUGAGACACGGCCCAGACUCCUACGGGAGGCAGCAGUAGGGAAUCUUCCGCAAUGGACGAAAGUCUGACGGAGCAACGCCGCGUGAGUGAUGAAGGCUUUCGGGUCGUAAAACUCUGUUGUUAGGGAAGGACAAGUGCUAGUUGAAUAAGCUGGCACCUUGACGGUACCUAACCAGAAAGCCACGGCUAACUACGUGCCAGCCGCCGCGGUAA
rnacentral:rRNA from 1 species